GGGCUCUAAUAGCUCACCCCUCUCCCUAACCCCAUGUUUUCAGGGCCAGAGAGAAGACAGGGUAUCAGCAAGGGUAAAGAGUAUGUAAUAAUGAUGGGUGUCUUCAUGGAGAUCGAUGCUCGUGAUUGGUCAUUCCAGAGCACGGUGGACCGCCAGAUUGAGGAGGCCCGUCACGAGGAAAACCUUGUAGCUACAAGUGAUGUCUAGGGCCAGCUUGCCGCAGCUCAGGGUCACUUGAAGGACCUUAAUGACGAGCUAACUUGGACACAAGACGCCAUUAGGAGGGCUGACGAGAGGGCAACUACAGCGAAGUCUCGUCGUGAUGAAGUUUUGGCACAGUUGUCCUCUCUGGAGGAAGCCCAGCAAGAGAGGGAUGAAGUUGUGUCUUGGCGAGACGAGGCCUGGUGUCAGUGUGAGGCAGCUAGAAAAGGAAGAAAAUGAAAAGUUGGAGACAAAGUGCAGAAAAAGCUGGAAAAUUGAUUGGGUUAAAGUGAUUUGGCCAAAUCACUCGCAGAAAGCUAAAGCAGGAAACUGGGACUGACUUGCAGAAAUGAUUUGAGCAAGCGAUUUGGGCAAAUCACUGCCCAAAUCAAACUGACGCAGAGGAGGACAACAACGCGGGAAAAAGGAAAAUUUUAAAUUUCAAAAGCAUUAAAGUCCUAUCCUACUUCAAACACUACAAGAUCAAUCAUUUGACAACUCCAAAAGUCACACCAAAGAAAAUCCUUCACCAAAUGAAUUCUAUUCAUUAUAAAAUACAAAAGCAAGAAGGAAUUAAAAGGCCAUCUCGAAGUCCAAUUCAAAGAAGGAUCCCAAGUCCUAAAUGAAUUAGGACUCUCCACCUAUAAAAGGGACAGCACCAAAACCAGCAGGCAUCAUCGGAAAUACUGUAGAAAUUCAGCAGUAGCACAACAACUUCUUCUUUUAUUUUUCUUCCUUCUUUUUGUGUAUUUUUGUCCACCAUGAAUGGCUAAACUCCUUUUCUAGUUGAAAUUGGGAAAUUUCAGUUUUG